AAUAAUUGAGAUAUCUGACGUUUAAAAUACGCACACCGAGAUCUCGCAUUUUUAUACUACCGUCCUCCCCUUAAGCCCACGAGCGGUUUGUUUUCCUCCCAAUUCGCAGGGCAAAUGAUUUGUUUUCCUCCCAAUUUAAGCUUAAUAUGCACCUCGUGCGAAAUGAGGUCGCGAAAUAUUUUUCCUUUUUCCGUACGAAAUUUUGACAUUUGCUCGCGAAAACUUGACAGCCAGGUUUCUGUGCGUAGCUGUCAGAUGUCGCUUCUAAUAACAAUCACAAAACAUCAGCUGUUAUUGUGUUUACAUGUUUUAGUUAACACAAUAAUUGAGUUUUUCAAAAAUCGUCGCAGUUACAGCAUAGCACGGCUGAUUAUUUUUGUCGGAUUGUGGUCGUUGUCGAUACCAGUAGUGUUGAAACAUCCAUGUUAGUAGCUAUCGUACAAGCUCAUAUCUUUGCCCGCGAUAAUGUAGUUGCUCCGACGAAGGUUACUUUCUCGGAAUGUUCUUGCCGUGUGACUCAAUUUCGGGGUCCAGAUAGUGUGAUCUCAUUUUAAGGAGAGUUUGGGCGACGCGUCGUGCCGUGGAAAAUAAAAUGAACGUCAGCAACGAUGCGAAUUCAAUGACGAUGAGCGUCAUUCUUGUGGAUCUUUCGGUAAUCAUUUCAACCCAUAGUAGGUAUGGCGGAAAGUACCAAUUAUUUGGUCAAACAAACGACCGAACAUUACAUGAGCAAUCCGAAUGAUGCUUCCACCGGAACUGAGCGUAGCACUGUGAUGGAAUUUGUUUCGCUAGGAUCUCCCCUUAUAAUACGAACCAUUAUUUUUCUAGCACAACUCUUGCACAAAGGGAUCGAGAUUUUUCUAGUAACCGAAUAACUCUAAGAUUACCUCUUAAACGAAACAAAAAAAAAUCUUGCUGUUUGCAUCGGAGUAGUUCCAGUUUGGUUCAAAAUUGGUUUUUUACGUUGCAAUCUUUUCAGCAAAAUACUGGUAGACGUUUCUAAUAACAAGGUCAAUAUCCUGAAUAUAUUAACCUUCUAUUCCACACGACUACAUGAGGGUGAAGGAAACUGAUUUCACCAGUAAACUUAGCUUUACCAAUAUGCCCAGGAUACAUAUCCAGCUAUAGCUUUGGCAAGCCAUUUUCCUGGAACGACAGCUUAUUAGCAAAUCCACAUGCCGGAAAGAAGCACAAUUGCAGCAUGAUUUGAGCAAAUAACUUUACCUAACUUAACAAAUUCACACGGAAGAGUGGCAUUAAAAAUACACCGUGCGCGAUAAAUAUUUCGCCCAUAAAUUAAUCCAACUCAUACCGGUGACUAUCAGUUCAAGUACAAUGUACGCGACAAAGAAUUCAAUGAAAGUCCACUUUUGAAGCAGUAUAAGCGCAGCUAUGACCCUGCGAUAUCUGUUAAUGCCUGAGGACUUCCUACCGUUCGUAUAGGGUUUCGCUCGAUUACCCGAGUUUUCCAGUGUUAUGUAUUUAUAAAUGAUCCAUAUGGAUACAGAAUUAAAUCUGGAGAAAACUCAAUAGGACGUAAGUAGAAAACGAGUGUUUCUCUAGAAAUGACAUUUUUUGCUGGAAUACAAAAUUGUACGUUCAUUCAUACCAGAGAGCGACUGCAAACAUGUUAGUGGAUUCAUUUCCCUAAAAAAACAUUUGCCUUAUUCGAUGGCAUACAGACUAGAACAUAAUAUGUAGUUUUCAUUUCAAGUAAUGGUGAAAUGGAUUUUAUUUACAGAAGAGCUAAAAGAAAUUGAAAUAUACUCCAGGAAUAUCAUUACCGUA